rnacentral:rRNA from 1 species
UACGGGGGGGGCUAGCGUUGUUCGGAAUUACUGGGCGUAAAGGGCUCGUAGGCGGCCAACUAAGUCGGAUGUGAAAUCCCCAAGCUUAACUUGGGAACUGCAUCCGAUACUGGAUGGCUUGAAUCCGGGAGAGGGAUGCAGAAUUCCAGGUGUAGCGGUGAAAUGCGUAGAUAUCUGGAGGAACACCGGUGGCGAAGGCGGCAUCCUGGACCGACACUGACGCUGAGGAGCGAAAGCCAGGGGAGCAAACGGG